rnacentral:rRNA from 1 species
UCAGGUGGCCGCAGAGAAUAGGCCCAAGCGACUGUUUACCAAAAACAUAGGUUUCUGCUAAGUCGCAAGACGAUGUAUAGGAGCUGACGCCUGCCCGGUGCUGGAAGGUUAAGGGGAUCUGUUAGAGCAAUCGAAGCAGUGAACUUAAGCCCCAGUAACCGGCGGCCGUAACUAUAACGGUCCUAAGGUAGCGAAAUUCCUGGUCGGGUAAGUUCCGACCCGCACGAAAGGCGUAACGAUUUGGGCACUGUCUCAACAACAGACUCGGUGAAAUUGUAAUUCCGGUGAAGAUGCCGGAUACCUGCGACAGGACGGAAAGACCCCAUGGA